GGAGAUUGAUAUCAGGGGGCCGUGAAAGAAUGACUGAUCGAUUCAUCUCUCUAUCCAAUUCAUCAUGUGUUAGAGAACCUGAAUCCAUGGACAAAAGUGUAGAUGGAUAUUGACAAGGAUGUGAGGAGUGCUUCCCCCAUAUUUUUUUUCUGUUCCUCCUCUAUUAUUCUUCUUGCUUCUGGUUUGUGACUUGAAGCCCCACCACAGUUACUAGAAGCUCAUCAACAGCAUCAUGAAUCAAAUAGAAACCCACAAAAAUCAGAAAAGCCCCCAAUCAAUCAACAAAACCAAACAAGCAACUCAUAAGCCUCUUCAUUUUUAAAGGCUCAAAACUUCACCCCACAAUAAUCGACAAAUACUCAUUAGUGAAUCCAGAGAGCAGCAAAUGAUGGCAUCAAUAUCAUUGGUAUGUCACUGACCUAAAAGGAGAGGCUUCAAAUCCACCCAAAACAGAGGCUUGCACAUUCAUUCGAUCCUCCAUUUUGAG
rnacentral:misc_RNA from 1 species